AUGGCGAACGUCGCCGAGCACGGCGUGCAGAUGCCGGCGGAUCCUCCCUCCGGCAAGGCCGCCGCAGCGCCGGAGAUGGGGCUGAAUCUUUUCAUUCGCUUCGUUGCGCUGAUCGAGAGGCUUGGCGACGCCUUGGGCACGCUGGCCUUCACCUGGGCCACCGUCGUCCUGCUCGGCGGCUACGCCAACUCCAACGACCUCGGCUCGGAUUUCGGGGUCUUGACGGCCAUAGUUUUCCUGGAGGCCUUGAGGUACGUAUGCAACUACUAG
rnacentral:rRNA from 1 species